rnacentral:lncRNA from 1 species
CAAGUUUCUGGUCAGAACGCGCUUCCGUAUGGUCUCCCUUGGAACUAUUAUCCCAUCCCUGGAUCCUGGGGAUUGGUACGCUGCCCUCGAUAUGAAAGAUGCCUAUUUUCACAUCGCCAUCAAUCCGGCCCACAGGCAGUUCCUGCGCUUCACCGUCAACCAGCGCCAUUUCCAAUUUACAGUCCUGCCUUUUGGCCUGGCAUCAGCACCACGAGUAUUCACGAAAUGCAUGUCCGUGGUAGCAGCCUUCCUUCGGAAAAGAAGGAUGCGCGUGUUCCCGUACUUGGACGACUGGCUCCUCGCGGGCAGGUCGGAGGCCGAGGUCCGCUCUCACGUGACGCUGGCUCUACAGAUGUUCGGCAGGCUCGGCCUCCUGGUCAACGUACCCAAGUCCACGUUAGCUCCCACACAGAGACUGGACUUCAUAGGUGCAGUCCUGGACUCGGUGACCGCGCGGGCAAGCCUCCCAGAGACGCGGUUCCUGACAAUUCAGAGGGCCGUAAGCUCAGUCCAGAAGUUCCCCACGACAACGGCAAGGUGUUGCAUGCAGCUCCUGGGACACAUGGCAGCCUGCACACAUGUAGUCAGACAUGCCCGCCUAAGGCUCCGGCCCUUGCAGUUAUGGUUUGCCCAAACGUACCGCCCCAACAGAGACCCCUUGGAUCUGGUGGUGACGAUCCCGGAUCGGGUAUUGGGCUCGCUCCGCUGGUGGCUCGAUCAACAGCAGGUCUGCGAAGGGAUCCCCUUCGCUGCCCCACAGCCCACUCUGACGUUAGUAACGGAUGCAUCGGGCCUGGGUUGGGGGGCACACCUGGGGUAACUGCGGACCCAAGGCUUGUGGUCCAGGGAAGACAGGUUGCUUCACAUCAAUCUAAAGGAGCUGAGAGCGGUUGGCCUCGCCUGUCAGACCUUCCACGCCACCAUAGAAGGUCACAGCGUGGCAGUCCUGACGGACAACACUACCGCCAUGUUCUAUAUAAACAAGCAGGGCGGGUCCCGGUCCUCUCCCCUCUGUCGCGAGGCACUCCAAUUAUGAGACUUCCGUA